GGACUACGCGGGUAUCUAAUCCUGUUUGCUCCCCUAGCUUUCGCGCCUCAGCGUCAGUUAUGGUCCAGUGAGCCGCUUUCGCCACAGGUGUUCCUUCCGAUAUCUACGCAUUUCACCGCUACACCGGAAAUUCCACUCACCUCUCCCAUACUCAAGCCCGACAGUUUCUAAUGCAGGCUAUGGGUUGAGCCCAUAGAUUUCACAUCAGACUUGUCAAACCGCCUACGCGCCCUUUACGCCCAAUAAUUCCGAACAACGCUUGCCCCCCUCGUAUUACCGCGGCGGCUGACAC
rnacentral:misc_RNA from 1 species